CCUACGGGGGGCAGCAGUGAGGAAUAUUGGUCAAUGGACGAGAGUCUGAACCAGCCAAGUAGCGUGAAGGAUGACUGCCCUAUGGGUUGUAAACUUCUUUUAUAUGGGAAUAAAACGUUCCACGUGUGGGAUUUUGUAUGUACCAUAUGAAUAAGGAUCGGCUAACUCCGUGCCAGCAGCCGCGGUAAUACGGAGGAUCCGAGCGUUAUCCGGAUUUAUUGGGUUUAAAGGGAGCGUAGGUGGAUUGUUAAGUCAGUUGUGAAAGUUUGCGGCUCAACCGUAAAAUUGCAGUUGAAACUGGCAGUCUUGAGUACAGUAGAGGUGAGCGGAAUUCGUGGUGUAGCGGUGAAAUGCUUAGAUAUCACGAAGAACUCCGAUUGCGAAGGCAGUUCACUGGACUGCAACUGACACUGAGGCUCGAAAGUGUAGGUAUCAAACAGGAUUAGAUACCCCAGUAGUC
rnacentral:rRNA from 1 species